rnacentral:rRNA from 1 species
UUGUGUCAUAAUAACUGCUUCGAAUCGCAUGGCCUUGUGUGGCGAUGCUUCAUUCAAAUAUCUGCCCUAUCAACUUUCGAUGGUAGGAUAGAGGCUACCAUGGUUGUCAACGGGUAACGGGGAAUAAGGGUUCGAUUCCGGAGAAGGGAGCCUGAGAAACGGCUACCACAUCCAAGGAAGGCAGCAGGCGCGCAAAAUUACCCAAUCCCGACACGGGGAGGUAGUGACAAUAAAUAACAACGUAGGGCCCUUUUGGGUCCUACGAUUGGAAUGAGUACAAUUUAAAUCCCUUAACGAGGAACAAUUGGAGGGCAAGUCUGGUGCCAGCAGCCGCGGUAAUUCCAGCUCCAAUAGCGUAUAUUAAAGUUGUUGCAGUUAAAAAGCUCGUAGUUGAACUUCAGACCUGGCUGGAUGGUCUUGCCUAACGGUAUGUACUGUCCGGCUGGGCCUUACCUCUUGGUGAGCCGGCAUGCCCUUCACUGGGUGUGUCGGGGACACCAGGAACUUUUACCUUGAGAAAAUCAGAGUGUCCAAAGCAGGCUCAUGCCCGAAUACAUUAGCAUGGAAUAAUAAAAUAGGGACGUGCGGUUCUAUUGUGGUUUCUAGAGUCGCCGUAAUGAUUAAUAGGGGAUAGUUGGGGGCAUUAAGUAUUCAGUUGCUAGAGGUGAAAUUCUUGGGAUUUACUGAAAGACUAAUAUGGAAAGGCAUUUGCCA